UGAGAUGUUGGGUUAAGUCCCGCAACGAGCGCAACCUUAUUGUUAGUUGCUACCAUUUAGUUGAGCACUCUAGCGAGACUGCCCGGGUUAACCGGGAGGAAGGUGGGGAUGACGUCAAAUCAUCAUGCCCCUUAUGUCUAGGGCUACACACGUGCUACAAUGGCUGGUACAGAGAGAUGCUAAACCGUGAGGUGGAGCCAAACUUUAAAACCAGUCUCAGUUCGGAUUGUAGGCUGAAACUCGCCUACAUGAAGCUGGAGUUGCUAGUAAUCGCGAAUCAGAAUGUCGCGGUGAAUACGUUCCCGGGCCUUGUACACACCGCCCGUCACACCAUGAGAGUUGGCAAUACCCAAAGUUCGUGAGCUAACGCGUAAGCGGGCAGCGACCUAAGGUAGGGUCAGCGAUUGGGGUGAAGUCGUAACAAGGUAGCCGUAGGAGAACCUGCGGCUGGAUCACCUCCUUU
rnacentral:rRNA from 1 species